rnacentral:lncRNA from 1 species
GUGGGGAAGGGGCCUUCAGGGGGUCCCUGCAGGAAGGGAGCGCAGAGGCAGCGGCCGGCCCAGCGAGCAUCAUCCUGCUGUAGCUUCCGUUUGUCCAUGGCCCAGGUCUUCUCUGAAGCUGUACUCUUCUCUGGCUCUGCUGACACCUUUCCUAGCAAGGAAGUGGUAUAAAAUGCUUGCUGAUGGGCACCUGCCCCAGGACUUCCCACUCACCAUUGUUGUUGAGCUCUUGGGGUUUCCAGGAUACCUGUGGCUCUCAAGCCCUCCCUUCUGUCCCUGCCCCCUGCAGAGAAUGAUCUGGAAGGAUUCUCUGUUUUGGAAUCUUUGAGAGCUGUUCUACUUUCAUUUCUGUUGCUCUGAUGAAACAACCUACGAAAAAACCAGCUUAAUAGAGAAGAGAUUAUUUUAGCUCUACCACUUGAGGUUCCUUCAUUGGUUUCCCUGGAUGAUGGGCUGUAACCUCUAACCAGGCAGAGUAUCUCUCUUCCUCUCUCCCACCACACCCACACUCCAGAAGAUGUUACAGAGCCAUUUUGGAAGAGGAGAUUCAACUGAGACAAUGCCCCUACCAGACUGGCCUGCAAGCAAGCCUGUGGAAAACUUGUUUAAGCCAGCCAAAUAUGUGAUGAACACACAGCAUCAUUAAAGCCAAGUGACCUUUAAAAGGAAGAUGUUGAUCACAAUGCAGGACCCGGGUAUUCGUGGGUGCGAGGGGGACCGCAAACCUGAAGAGAAAUGAGCGAGAAAGAAGAGCGAGACCAAGCAAAGAGUUGUCAAGGUUUCUUCAUCAUUCUGGAUCCCAGAGGAGGGGACAGACACUGGGGUGACUAAAUCCCAUGAAUGACAAACUUUUGUGCUUAUAAAGCACUGAGCCUGGAUGGGAUGUUUGUUACUGUAACACAACCUGACAUUCCUAGCCGAUACACCAACUCCCCAGCAAGAGGGCUCAGAGCAUCGCCACAGGAUGGUGUGGAACAGGAGACUAGGAAACCAAGGAAGAGAGAC